rnacentral:rRNA from 1 species
CGACCUGAGCUCAGGCAAGAUUACCCGCUGAACUUAAGCAUAUCAAUAAGCGGAGGAAA